rnacentral:rRNA from 1 species
GAUGAACGCUGGCGGCGUGCCUAAUACAUGCAAGUCGAGCGAACAGACGAGGAGCUUGCUCCUCUGACGUUAGCGGCGGACGGGUGAGUAACACGUGGAUGACCUACCUAUAAGACUGGGAUAACUUCGGGAAACCGGAGCUAAUAUCGGAUAAUAUAUUGAACCGCAUGGUUCAAUAGUGAAAGACGGUUUUGCUGUCACUUAUAGAUGGAUCCGCGCCGCAUUAGCUAGUUGGUAAGGUAACGGCUUACCAAGGCAACGAUGCGUAGCCGACCUGAGAGGGUGAUCGGCCACACUGGAACUGAGACACGGUCCAGACUCCUACGGGAGGCAGCAGUAGGGAAUCUUCCGCAAUGGGCGAAAGCCUGACGGAGCAACGCCGCGUGAGUGAUGAAGGUCUUCGGAUCGUAAAACUCUGUUAUUAGGGAAGAACAAAUGUGUAAGUAACUAUGCACGUCUUGACGGUACCUAAUCAGAAAGCCACGGCUAACUACGUG